GAGAAAUAUAUAUUAUAAAACAAAAUCUCAGUUUUAUGGACUGUACAAUAAACACAGUAUCACUAUCAGUUCUAUAGAUCUAAAUGUCCUACUGAUUCCUCUGGGCAUGUUGGUGGUGUUCUAGUCACAUGGAAGAUGUGGAGAAAGUAUAAGGACAAUAAGGUCUUGGACCAGACAACAAACACCUCAGUGCAGGACCCAUUUCCUGCCGAUGAUGUGAUGUACAGCACUGUUGUCUUCAAGAGGAGGAACCAGCUAAAUGUACAGACCAAGCAGAGGGCAGCAACACAGCAGUGACUGACUGAGUGAAGAUCUUGGUCCAAAAGAGCCCUCAUCCUGGAAGGAUAGCCCACUCCCCUCCUGUGUCACAACAUGAGUCAUGACCAUCUACCUGCCUCCAAUAUGCUUCUGCCCACACCUUCUAACCCACCUGUCUCCUUGUUGUGUCCAUAAACUACUGAAGACAGUCUGCUGUGCUUGUUUUGAUUAUCACCAUAUACACCUUAGUAUGUGGACACAUUCGGCUAUUUCAGCCACACCCGUUACUGACAGGUGUAUAACAUUGAGCACACAGCCAUGCAAUCUCAUUACACAAACAUUGGCAGUAGAAUCGCCCGACCUCACUAAUGGUUUUGUGGCUGAAUGGAAACAAGUACCCGCAGCAAUGUUCCAACAUCUAGGUGAAAGCCUUCCCAGAAGAGUGGAGGCUGUUUAUAGCAGCAGAGGGUGGACCAACUCCAUAUCAAUGCCCAUUAUUUUAGAAUGAGAUAUUUGACGAGCAGCUGUCCACAUACUUUAGGUCAUGUAGUGUAUCUGUUAUAUUAGUCAUGUCCCGCCCACCUACAGUACUCCAAUGCCCUUGUCACUUUUUAAUCUUAUUGAUAUCAUGUAUCUAGUCAAAUGUAACUGAUUAUGAUCAAAUAUGUAUAUUAAAUGAACAAGCUGUGUAACAAAAUAAAAGGCUAAUGCUGA